rnacentral:lncRNA from 1 species
UCUACAUUGUGGAUGCAACAAAGAAUAGAUCCAAGAUGAAAAUGCAGUGGACUUUUAUUCAGUGCAGAUCAACAUGUUGCCACUAUAAAUACAAUGCAGCCGGGAAAACAACACACUGAGCUGCAAACAAAAGCCAACAGUUCAAGCAGAAGAGGAUUUUUCAGUGAUCUCUACUGAUGCUAAAGGAACUUUGACCUCUGUAGACCUUACAUAGGGUAAGAGGAUCCUAGAUUCAGAGCUCUGAGAGACACCUUCUCUCAUGUUUUCAUGCUGCUGCUACAGUGUAUUUCUAAAGGAAUGCUUUAGAAAGUGCUAUAAGUAGAACUUCAUAAUCAUUCUUAUCUGUCACUAAUUCUACAGGAAGCUUGACCUUUAAUCAAGAGGAAAGCACAUUAGAAAAUAUCACUUUAUUUUACAUCUAAUGUGCAUACAUACACCUCCAGUUCUUUGAUGAUUACUAAUCUUGUUUUUCAUUUGCCUCCUGCUGUACUAUUUUCUAAUUUUAGUUACUAAUAUAUUACUAUCAUAUUUACAAUGCAGGUAAAUGAUAUUUAUUUACCUAAAUCUUGAAUCCAAAGGAUCUUAAUAAAUAAGUUUAUCUACAGAAGGUAUUUUCCUUG